rnacentral:tRNA from 1 species
UAGCUCAGUGGGUUGAGUGCGGUGCUGAUAAAACCAAGAUUGCGGGUUUGAUUCCCGU